rnacentral:rRNA from 1 species
GAUGAACGCUGGCGGCGUGCCUAAUACAUGCAAGUCGAGCGAACAGGCGAGGAGCUUGCUCCUCUGACGUUAGCGGCGGACGGGUGAGUAACACGCGGAUAACCUACCUAUAAGACUGGGAUAACUUCGGGAAACCGGAGCUAAUACCGGAUAAUAUAUUGAACCGCAUGGUUCAAUAGUGAAAGACGGUUUUGCUGUCACUUAUAGAUGGAUCCGCGCCGCAUUAGCUAGUUGGUAAGGUAACGGCUUACCAAGGCAACGAUGCGUAGCCGACCUGAGAGGGUGAUCGGCCACACUGGAACUGAGACACGGUCCAGACUCCUACGGGAGGCAGCAGUAGGGAAUCUUCCGCAAUGGGCGAAAGCCUGACGGAGCAACGCCGCGUGAGUGAUGAAGGUCUUCGGAUCGUAAAACUCUGUUAUUAGGGAAGAACAAAUGUGUAAGUAACUAUGCACGUCUUGACGGUACCUAAUCAGAAAGCCACGGCUAACUACGUG